UCCAUGUAGACAGUGUUGUGUGUCUGGUUCGCCAGGGUUCACACACUGUCAAGUGGCGAAUGGGAGCUGAAUGUCCUGCUGGACUGGAGGUAUAUUCCCUUUCCACAUCAUGGUACAUCAACUGGACCCCCUGUGGGUUAGGGCCGUGUAUAUUCCAGAACCUUCCUAGAGCUGCUAGUACAGCUAGAACUGGGUAGAUAAGCCAUACACGGAAUAUAC